GUCGAGGGGUAUAGGAAGCUUGCUUCCUAGAGACCGGCGCACGGGUGCGUAACGCGUAUGCAAUCUACCUUUUGCAGAGGGAUAGCCCAGAGAAAUUUGGAUUAAUACCUCAUAGUAUAGCAGUUUCGCAUGAAACCACUAUUAAAGUCACAACGGCAAAAGAUGAGCAUGCGUCCCAUUAGCUUGUUGGUAAGGUAACGGCUUACCAAGGCAACGAUGGGUAGGGGUCCUGAGAGGGAGAUCCCCCACACUGGUACUGAGACACGGACCAGACUCCUACGGGAGGCAGCAGUGAGGAAUAUUGGACAAUGGGCGCAAGCCUGAUCCAGCCAUGCCGCGUGCAGGAUGACGGUCCUAUGGAUUGUAAACUGCUUUUGUACAGGAAGAAACACUGGUUCGUGAACCAGCUUGACGGUACUGUAAGAAUAAGGAUCGGCUAACUCCGUGCCAGCAGCCGCGGUAAUACGGAGGAUCCAAGCGUUAUCCGGAAUCAUUGGGUUUAAAGGGUCCGUAGGCGGUUUAGUAAGUCAGUGGUGAAAGCCCAUCGCUCAACGGUGGAACGGCCAUUGAUACUGCUAGACUUGAAUUAUUAGGAAGUAACUAGAAUAUGUAGUGUAGCGGUGAAAUGCUUAGAGAUUACAUGGAAUACCAAUUGCGAAGGCAGGUUACUACUAAUGGAUUGACGCUGAUGGACGAAAGCGUGGGUAGCGAACAGGAUUAGAUACCCUGGUAGUCCACGCCGUAAACGAUGGAUACUAGCUGUUGGGCGCAAGUUCAGUGGCUAAGCGAAAGUGAUAAGUAUCC
rnacentral:rRNA from 1 species